ACAGGAAUAAGAACAGAGUCUGUGACUCAGAGCUAGCUGUACACCGUGACUAAUUUUCCACCAUAAAUUAGAAGCUUGCAACAGCUAUAAAACUGCUUCCAGCUGAACAAUGAGCUCCUAGCUCUCACUAGCAUCUCAUCAACAAGCAAUUCAUGUGAAUCCUGAUAAAAAAAAUUAGAUACCUAACGAGGAUUGUAAUCAUAAAUAUAAUUAUACACUAGACUCAACACCUAAUUUUAAAGAUGAAAAAUACUUUUGAAGCAGAAAUUAAUAUUUCAUCUGAAUGAUUCUUCUUAAUUACAAGAAAUUUUACAUUUGACUGAGAGAAAACAGUUCUACUUUUGCCUGCUGGGUAUAUGGAAAUCAUAUACAGAAAAGGAGAAACGGCCCUGAUAAAAAUAGCUACCAGAAUAAUGCAAAUCAUUUCAUCCUUCUACAAACUUAUGACCUGAAAGACAGAUCUGAGUAGAAAAGGAAAUGGAUGCCCAGGACUCUGAUGCUGGAAGUCUUAAGAGUCCACAGAAGUACCAAGAAUGCCAAGAAAACAAUUAUUAAGAAGAUAUAUUCUGGAAAGUUUUCAUAUUAAUUGCUUCAUUUAAGUAAUGAUAAAACACACUCAAUAUGUUAGGGAGUUUUAUUUUCAUAUAAUUGUCCUUGCUUCAUCCUUUCAACCUCCCAUCAGGGUAAAAAAGGUUAAAUAUGUACUAAGUGCUCACAGAUCAUGUGGUUAGGCUAAGGAAGCAUAUGCUUUUAUAGCUUUAUAUAAAUACGCUAUAGUGUCUGUGGAGGUGGCUGAGUGUGUAAAUCACCUGACAUUCAAGUGUUAGGAGCAAAGAUUUGAUCCCUGGAACCUAUAUAACUGCUGGCUGGGCAUGGCAGCCUUCCUGACAUUCCAGAGCACGGCAUAAGGAGAUAUGGGAUCCCUAGAGCAAGCUGGUUAGCUACAGUAGCCAUAUCAAUGAACUCCGCAUUCAACUGAGAGACCCUGACUCAAUAUAGAAGGUGGACAUGGAUCAAAAAGAUGCUCAUAUAAGCAUACACAAGUGUGCAUGUAUGUGUGUGACCUCAUACACACAUCCCCAGACACAUACAAGCACACAUACAUACACAUAGAUAGGUAGACCUACUACAUAAGUAUACUAAUAAAAAUAAUUGUCAUGCAAAUA